CUUUUAGUUUUCCGAAUGUCUCCUCGUUGAUUUUUUUUUCUGUUGAAUCAACAUUUGAAACUAUUUUCAAUUUUUUGUGUGCGGGCUGUUCCACUUCGUGCACCAGUUUUUUUUCAUUCAAAUAGUUGAUAAUUUAAUGGUUACUCCAGAGUUCAGUCAAUUUUACUCAAAUCGAUACUCAUUUUUGACAGUUUGCCCCGGUUUUUGAAAUUGAGUAGUGGAAACUCAAAUUUUGAGUAGUUUUCAAUGAGCGUGCAUGUGCACUUUUUAUGGAAUUGAGUGGCUGGUCACUCACUUUUGAGUUAUUUUCAAUGAGCGUGUGGCUCUCAGCACAUGAAAAAAAACGAUGUGGCGUAUUCUUUCGGUUUGCGUGUUCAGAUUGUCGAUUGUGACACGUGAUCCGAAAAUGGUAGCGCGUCGUAACAUCCGCACAAGUGGUGCGAUAUUAUCCGAAAACAAGUGUGCGUCAUGCAGUCCCAACCUUAUGACCCACAUCCGGAUUUUAUGACGCAGUAAGCUGUCCCAAACAUUAUGACGUACCCAUUACAACUACACUGUAAAUAAUUUACACUUUAUUUUGAAGAGAUUUGACACAUAAGAUUUAAGUUUCAAGCCACACUGAGAAUUCCAGAACUUUCCAUUUAACUCUCAAUAAAAUUACACUUCAAAACUAAGUGUGCCACCCUAUAACAUGAUCGAGUGUCAUCGCGUUUAAAUUUUAAGUGUGAGCGCUAUAAAUCAUAAAUGUGUUGUCCAUGAGAUCCAUGUUUAUAACAAUUGCGGCAACAUUAAGUGUCACGUCAAUUGAAUUUCGAGUCAGCGAAUUAAAUAGUAAAUGGUUUGCCCAUCACUGCGAAUAAUGUACACUUAUUUACGAAGUUAUUUGGCACAUAAGAUUUAAGUUUCGAACCACAUUGAAAACUCAAGAAUUUUUCUUGUGUCCUUUAAUAAAAUAACACUUAAAAUUCAAGCGUCCUACGUGAUAGUAUUAUUAACUGUCAUUACAUAUGAAUGUUAAGAGUCAGAUUAUUUAAUCAUAUAUGUUUUGCCCAUGAAAUUCAUUAUUUUUGACUAUUUCGGCAACAUCAAGUGUGAAAACACUUAGAGACAAGUUGAUUUUUCACAACAUUGAUUUGGGGAAACAUGGCGGCAAAAAAUAUGCAGAAAUUAAUAUUUAAAUCGAGGUUUGCAUGGCGUAUUCAGAAUGUUUUGCAUGGUAAUUUAAUUGACGGACUUCAUAUAAACAGGACCAAAGAAGAGACGCGUUACGGGUAAACCAUUUUUAUUUCAUUUAAUAUUUAGGAAUAACACACUAACUUAUUUGUUCUUUCUUUUAAGAGAAUAUAUUUAGUGAUGAAUCAA